rnacentral:rRNA from 1 species
AGUGAACGCUGGCGGUAGGCCUAACACAUGCAAGUCGAACGGCAGCACAGUAAGAGCUUGCUCUUACGGGUGGCGAGUGGCGGACGGGUGAGGAAUACAUCGGAAUCUACUUUUUCGUGGGGGAUAACGUAGGGAAACUUACGCUAAUACCGCAUACGACCUCCGGGUGAAAGCAGGGGAUCUUCGGACCUUGCGCGAUUGCAUGAGCCGAUGUCGGAUUAGCUAGUUGGCGGGGUAAAGGCCCACCAAGGCGACGAUCCGAAGCUGGUCUGAGAGGAUGUUCACCCACACUGGAACUGAGACGCGGUCCAGACUCCUACGGGAGGCAGCAGUGGCGAAUAUUGGACAAUGGGCGCAAGCCUGAUCCAGCCAUACCGCGUGGGUGAAGAAGGCCUUCGGGUUGUAAAGCCCUUUUGUUGGGAAAGAAAAGCAGCAGGUUAAUACCCCGCUGUUCUGACGGUACCCAAAGAAUAAGCACCGGCUAACUUCGUG